UUUUUUCUCACCCUUCACAAAGCCUGUCCUCUUCUUAACAUGCGUAUUUUUUCCUUCGGAGCCAUUUUCCUCCGUAGGCUCUCCGAGCUGGCCAGCCGCCAAACAGUAGAGUGAGCUGCAUGAAAAAGCCUUGAUCAUUGACAGGCUGUCUUACAAUUCCUUUCUUGUAUUCAAGAUGCAGAUGGAUGUUAUUAGAAAGGUUUUUACUUUGAAUGUGCGCACUUGUCCACAUGCCUGAGAUUAGUGCUCAGUACUCAUGUAAUGCUUUUCAUCCCCAAAGAGGCUUUACAAGUGCCAGCCCUCAGAACCCCCCUGCAAGGUAGUGGAUGGUUUCCUCCAGGAAAAAUAAAUGGAACAUAAACUGAUGGAGUGUGGUAUCACUGACUUAAAAAGCUGGAGAUGUUGAAGCAAGGUCCUGAACAUCACUUUCCCAGUAGAGACAGGAGGAUAGGAGACUUGCAGUCAUCUCCCAUCACCACUUCCACUCCUGAAAGGAGCACACCCAUAUCGUGGUCACAAGCAUGAAUGAAACUUACGUAGACAUUCCUGAGCUUACUUCAGAAAUACAGGCUCGGCCUUCAAAAGUUCCUGCUGAUUUGUUCAGUGUUCAUACAGUAUGUAGCAUAGCGGGCAUGAUCCACUCCUAUGCCUCCUAGGUGCUGUCACAAUACAGAAUUCACAGAGUCACAGAAUCACUAGGUUGGAAAAGACCUCUUGGAUCGUCGAGUCCAAGCAUUCCUAUCAAACACUAAGCCAUGCCCCUGAGCACCUCCCCUACCUGUCUUUUAAACACCUCCAGGGAAGGUGACUCCAUCCCUUCCCUGCGCAGCCUCUGCCAGUGCCCAAUGAGCCUUUCUGUGAAAAAUUUUUUUCUGAUAUCCAGCCUGAACCUCCCCUGGUGCAGCUUGAGGCCAUUCCCCCUUGUCCUGUCCCCUGUCACUUGGGAGAAGAGGCCGGCUCCCUCUAUCUCUCUCCCUCCUCUCUUUAACCACCUUUCCUUUUGUCUGGGCACCUUUAUGAGUGUACUGAAGGGAACACUGGCCUUUGAAUUGCUCUCAAAGAAUCCUGUAAAUACUUGGACAGUUCAUGCCAGCCCCGGAGCUGCUGCUGCUAGUAUUAAACCAGCUACUUAAAGCCAAUUUGCCUACACUUGCAGCUACAGCAGAAGUCAAACAAUAAAUAUUCCCAAAUGUAGCUAUGCAAACAGUAAUAUAUUUUGAAUAAAUAUAUGGAAUGCAUUAUAGUAAUUGUGAAUUCUUGUCUUUUAAGAAAAAAAACAAACAAAAGAUAAAUUUCUCUUCAUGCCACAGGCCAGGCUCUCUUUUGGAUUUUAUACUACCUUACAAAUACAAAAUGAUCACAAACCAAUGGCAAACAUUCAAGGAUUAUUUUAGCAUAGACUGUCUUAACUCACUGAUCUCUUUCUAUCAUUGCACUCCACUUCAGGGGGACACGGGAGCAGUACUGAACCCAUACACUAGCGAUUGCUGGUUGACAAAUAGCCAUAUAAAUAGAGGGUGUUGUGUAAAAAUCCCUAACAAACAAAAAAACCCAAACAACGCACAUGGCCUUCAUCAUGCUGUAAAAGAUGAUAAAAACAGAAGUUGCAAAUGGCAAUAAUCCCAUACCUGUAUAUAUCCCAAAAGAUGAGAGACAGCUUUCUUGGAAAAAUGUUGCCAUCCCAAAAGCCAGAGCGUAGAAGCUAAUCUUGUUCAAAGGAGAAGAUUUUCCCUUGGUAGUGGCCUUCCUCGUACCUGAAAUCAUUCAUCUGUGACUUAAAAUCCAAUAAAAUUGGCUUCUGCCCAGACCGAUGGGAACGGCUACAGUUUUCAAGGUCAGCUACAGAGUGGUUCGUCAGGCCAAAACUUCCAUUUGCCUUUACCGUCCACCUCCUCAAACAGUUCUGAAUGUAACUUUUUGUGGUUGCUGAGAAGGUACCAGGAGAGAGCAGAGAAGGAGAUGGGCAGUUCUGAGAGCUGGAGCUCAGUUGCGUGAAUCUACUUCAGCUGCCACGCCAUCUCCAGAAGAAAGAUGAAAAUGAGUCUUUAUCCAGAGAAAGGGGAUAAAAGGACAUCCAUGGGUUUAUAUUCGUACUGAACACAAAUAAUUUACUCGCCUCCCAAAGGAGGCAAUGUUCUGUUGUUUUCCUGCCAGGGCAGACUGGCCUCUCCUGAGCAAACCAAGUGUUCACCUGUGAGCUGAUAGAUAACUGGUGUCAUGAAUUAAAUGCUGUGUGGCUCAGUCAAAUGCAAGACUUUGAAAGUGAGAGUAUCUUUUUAAAAAUCAGGCUUAGCAAAUGAACAAAGAGCUUACAGGAAUGCUGAAUUUGUUUCCUUGCCAUUUUAGUAACUGCUUGAUCUGACCAUUUCAAUUUAUCCUUUGAAAGAAUGGAGAUAUUCAGGAAGGCAGUAAAACUGGAUUUCUAGGACAAAAUACAUUUCUAAAAUACUUUAACACAGUGCUUACUUAUAGCUAUGCAAAAUGCUAUUAUGCUGAGCCAUCAUGUUUUGAGUUGCAGCCUUUUCAUAUUGCUGAAAUAUCAAUACUGUAUGUACUGCAUGUAAUAUACAUGGUUAACUCCUUGUUUCCAAGCAUAAUGUAGGAUAGAAAAGGUUUGUAAAGUAAAAGCUUGACCAGCGCAAACAAUGCCUCCAGCCCCCAGUCCAUUGUAUAAUAAAUCAGUCUGUAUAAUGCAGACUGAGGAAUAACCAAAAGGAAAAUGCAAAAUGAAAGGUAGAUUGUGACAUGCAAGAGGAUUCUAAAAUAUACUGAUAUACUGUUGAAGUUAGAAAGCAGGAAAGACAGAGUAAGAUAAUGUGAAAGCUGCAAAAAUGUGUGAUGCUGUAAAUUACAUUUUUUUUAAUAUUUGCAUGAAAAAAAGGGGUUUCCAGUGAUAAUCACAUGUUCUCUAGUAAUUAUUGUCCUUACUUGACAAUUGCUGUUUUUUUCCUAUUCUGAUGUAAGAACUAUUCCAGUUUCAGACAGAAAAAAAGAGCACAAGGGACAGCCUGGUAUUUACUAUAUAAACAACAUAUAUAUAUACACAUAUAAACAAUAUAAACAAUUAGAAGCAUCAGAGUAUAAACAAUCAGAAGCAUUUGCAUUAUACAGAUAUGUUGCUUACAGACACUAGAAAGGUAUUAAGUGCAACACAUCCUUAAAUAUUAUUAAAAAUUGUAGAGUGUAUUUGUACUUAAUUCUCUAGCUUUCAUUCGUUCCUUUUUCUGAUAAUUCCUGUUGCAUGAGAAGCCUUUGACAUAUGUCUGUAAGCACCGAAAUUUGUUACACUGAUCACAAUACAAUUGGAGCCCUCAAAAUCCCAUUGGCUGAAGUUAAAUAUCCCUGUGAACCACAGGUACUGUGUUACCGGAUAACAAAAUAGAAAUUAAUCAAAGCAAAACACUUCACUUGAUGCAGUUACAGCUAAUAGGUCUGAAAUGAAAGAUAAUUGCAUAUUAAAAUAGAGUGGGUAGCUUUGUUUUGAUGUAGAGAUAGGAAGAUGUCAGGCAAGCUAGUCUGUAGCAGGAGGGAAUGGGUGCCCUGAAGUGAUCGAGGAGCUGAGCCCAGAAAAGCAUUCCACACAUUCCUGUGGCACUCACCCUAUACAUAUGCCCCACAAAAAAAGGGAAUCUUAGCACUCCAGGAUGGUAAGAUGAGCUUCAGAAAAGCUCACACAUUCCCAUAGCUGCAGGCUUGAUUAAUUUGAAAAAAUGAUACUCUCUGUAUGAUGAAUGCAAGGUGUAUUUAAAAUUGCUAUUUUUUAGGGUAAAGGACAUCACAUUUUCAAUCUGUUAGUUAAAAAAAAAAAUGCCCCAUAAAGACUGCUAAUAAGAACAGACAAGCAAGCUUUAUUCAGGAUGUGGAGCCCUUCCUAGUCUUUUCCCAUGGUCUGCCCAGAAUGAUGAGUAUUAACAGCAAAAAUAUUUUGCUGACACAUAUGAGCGGGAUUAGCCCAAAGAGUUAUCUUUGUUAAUGAACCAUAUGUAGAAAUUCAGUAGUUUUAGUAGAUUACUGUCUAAAGGCACAGCCUGUUUAAGAGCAAUGUAUACCCAAACCCAUAAGAUUUUGUCUCCUGAGACAGUGUAUGUUGUGUAAGAGAUAAAAUGGUUGUCCCUGUGAUUUUUUGCAAAUAAAAAAUACAAAUAAAAACUACGCUGCUUUACUUGUGAUUAAAAUGUGUAAAUCCCUGAUAGUAACUGAAAUUUCUUAAUGUUGAUGUUAUUUACGUUGUGUGAUCCCUUGCUUGUAAAUGCAAA